CAUGACCACACGCACGGGCUCGCCUCCUCUCCCUCUCGCCCACGCAAUCCUCGCCGCCGCCACCACCCACGCCAGCCGCUUCCGGCGAGCUCCGGCGCCGCGCAGCACGCCCCUGAGCUCCCCAUCGUCUGCGCUUCCCUCCCCUCCGGCUAGAUUCUCCGCUCCCAGCGUCUACCGCCUGCUCGCAACCCCACCCCCGUGGCUAGGGUUUCGGGUAGGGCUUCGCCGGUGUAUCUCCGGCGGCCCCAGAUGGAGUAGGCCAUGGGAUUUCCCCAUCCACCAUGGUCGCCGCCGUCAAGGGCAGGAAGAAACCCUAGCUAGCAGCACCUCCUCACCUCGAAUGAUGCCUCUGCUGCACCAAGAUAGGGCAAGCAACCCCCAUCUGCUCUCUAUCUCUCCCAUUUGUACAAGUCCAUUUUUUGAACAAAAUUCUGCUACUACGCCAAAUAGUCCAUGAACAGAUCUAUUUUUUAUUUGUGAAUUGAUAUACUUCCAAACACAAAUAGUGUAUAUAUGUGCCAUUUUCAUUUUUGUUCCCUUCUCAUUUUUGUGCUUUUGUUUGUAAGCUCAUAAAAUAGUUACAGAAAAAAUGCCAUGUAAGUUCUUAGCAUGCGAGUGGACUAUGAUGGGAAGGGAGGAGGCCUGCGCCAAGGAGGAAGAGUAGCAGGGCAAAGGAGAGAUGCAACAUGGGAAAGAAGGGGUGGACUGGUUGGCGCCCCAUCAUGGGUAAGACAACAGGUGGAGACGUGGAGUGGCUGGUGUUGGGUGCAGGAGAGGAUGAUUGGGAAUUUAGGACAUAGGGAAAAUGAUAGAGGACAGGGCUCCAUUGCUUAGCUGCUAUUGUUUGCUGCUACUGAUCUCAAUAGAAAAAAUGGGGAUGCACUUAGUAUAUCCUAAAUGGAAUAAAGCUUGUGAUGAUAGCUUUUGUUGAUAGCAUGUCUCCUUUCCAGCAUUAUGUCGGUUUGUUCGAAAAUAAAAUUGGGCUUCCUUUAUUAGCACAUGAGUUCAUGAUUUUGAGAAGUUGUCCUGCAGAUUUAGGGGAGUAGGGUUAUGCUUUUGACGGUUCAGAUUGUGGUCUUGUUUUGAUUUAAAUUUGACGUGUUCUCAGGGUUUGGUAUAUGGAGUCAAUUUGUUUGAGGUUUACAUGCAGAGAUUUAUGGAGGUGGAGUAUUUGACUGGUAGGUCUCACUCAGUGCAGGUGUAGGUUGCAAUCUGAUUGUAUGAAUUGAUGUAGCAAGGAGCUGCAAGGGCAAGUCGAAGAUGAGUGUGGUUCGGUUCAAUUUAGGCAAUGCAUUCUGGUCAUGACAGCUUGGCAACAACGUGGUUCUCAGUGAGUAAUCCAUGCGGGAGAUCACUGCUAUUGUCAGCUUUGGUGGCAAGCAGUGGUUCAUUUGCACUACAAGCAUUGCGAACUCCAGCAUGAACCCAAAAAAUUUUGAGUUUCUUUUAAGUUCUAAUAGUAUGUCUAGAUUUCAGCUAUCACACAUGUCACCGGCCAUAACAUACCAAUUGAGCUCGUCGACCAGUUGCGCAACGCCGGCACUGCCAAGAACAAGGUGUAUGCCAUUCAUCACAUCUCUUGUUGUUGAACUGUCUAUUAUAAAAAUUAUGGGCAUGUUUUCUUGUGGGGUUCUUUUGCCUCAAUGGUAUUAUUCUUCUGGAAGCUAUGUUGCCAACUCUGAAUUUUUAUUUACUUCAGAAAUUUCAGAGUAAACACUGAAUUGCAACAUGGCACAAUUUAAUACCUCACAAACUUUGCAGAUUUUGUUUCAAUUUUGUAGUUCGGUUUGCUUGCUUGUGUAUAUGUGUGUGUAUACUGAGAGGCAGGGAAAUAUUAUUCUCUUCCAGCAGUUAUGUUUCUGUGACAUCUACUCCCCUCCACUCCAUUUUCUAUAGCCUGAAAUCUGAAUGUGAAAAGUAGAUGGAGGUGAUCAAGGGAAGCAGUCAUGAGCGAGGUGUUUGAGGGCUACGAGCGCCACUAAUGUGAGGUCUCAGACGCCUGCGCUCUUGUACUUGAUUCCAUUGUAUUUAUAUUGACACUUCUUUCCACUGCCUUACAUUUUGCCGUUAGGAAGUAAUUAUCAGCACUAGGCAUGCGAUUUUGACAGGUGGAGGCUUUAUUUUAGUGUAGGUGAACAUGUGAUUUGGGGAAGCUCUGUAGAUCCAGUUACAUUGCAGACUUGCCAGCUACACCAUCUAAAAAAUGGGCCUUGCCUUCAUAUGAAGCUUUCUUAGAUCAACUCUUCCAUUGAUCAAUUUUACAAGUAGGUGCACUGCGUUUGUAUACAACAAUCUGAAUGUGGGAGGUUUAACUAUUUUAUUAUAUUGUAAAAAAUGGAUCACGAUGAUUUCUUUUUCUGAAUCAUGAAUGGUGGGCUAGAGCCCCACCUGGAUCGCGUGUUUUGGAAUCCAAUAAUUAGAUAAAUGACCACCAUCCACAUUACCAACCAUCUCAGUGUUAUUUCCAGUUUCCUAAUUAAUGUAUGAAAAAGAGGAUCAAUCAAUUAUUGCUUUCUCCUGUUGCAACGCACGGGCAUGUUUGUUAGCUUGCUGCCUCCACCACUGGAACACCCCUUCGCCGGAGGUCAACCCUGGGUGUGCGUAUUGGGCACAACCCAAUGGAAAUUCCAGGGAAUCGUUUCAUUAAGGGAACCGUUCCAGGUUCAUUCAAAAAAUGGCACGACCUGAUUUACUUUCAGCAACCGUUUCGUUAAGGACAACAGAUUUGGACUCUGAGCUUUCCUCUGUGGCUGUUAAUAUCCCAGCAUGUCAGUUUCAGAUUUACCACUAGGUCACUUUCCCAUGCUGAGGAUUUGUCAUACCAAGAGGGUAAACGGAGAGACUUCCAGAGCAUGGUCAUGGUGUGGAUCUGAUUUUUGUUGGGUGGAUGAUAUUUGGGAUUAUUUUGUGUGCGUGCAGAUUGAUUAGAAUGUGCAUAUGGAGAUUAUUUAUAGCUCGAUCAAAGAGGUAAAAUUACCAAAUCCCGACUUGUCAGUCAUCCGAUAACUUUGUUGAUUGUCAGUUAUACAUUUGAUUCGUGAAUUUUGAAGGUUCUGAGCUUGAAACUCCGAAGUACAGAUAUGAUACUCUGUUUUUCUAAAAUAAAUGAUGAUUGUAGAUUUUAAAUUUUGCAUCAUGAAUGCAUCUGCCUAUUAUUAGUAACGGUUUUUUCCGCCUGUUAUUAGUAAUGGUGUUUUUCGUCAAAAGAUAAUAGUACUGUUGGGCUGAGUCUAACACUGGAGCAUCGAGGUUUGUCCUACAAUCUCGUACAAUAUUUGUUCAGUGCACUUCAUUGCGGUUCAGUGAAAAUGGGGUUGCUCUACAACCUAAUUACCUUUCUAUGUCAUCAGACUUUCUUUAUUCUGAACCAUCCUGCUGAUAGUAAAUGUAACCAUGUAACUCAUUUUCUAUGUGUGCCAAUAGGCAAGGUACACUUUCGCUCUGCCUCUGCCCAAGCUCGCUGCCGUCCCUGGUCGCGCGGCCGCCUAUGACCAAGUAACCUCUCUCUCCCGCGCGCCCCUGGAGCUCCUUAAUCUCCUGGUCUACCUUCUCUCUCAUCGACCUUUCUUUGUAUUUCAAUUGUAGGAUAAUUAGUGGAUGUUGAUAAGUGUACUAUUCAUGUUGUUGCUAACAUUUCUGACUAACUGGUCCUAAAUUUGUUCAGUGUGAUUGUUCAGAGGAGAAGAUAUUUGUACUAGAAGAUGAUGUAUAUUUUACUGAAUUUUUUCCAGAACAUAUGUUUUUUGUAGAUAGAAGAUGGAGUAUACU